GGUGUGAUCCACCCUAGAGAAACACUGAGUACCUUUUAGCAGGAAGCCGGCGUAGCCAGAUGUGUACACUUACUGCACCACGCCUGAGCACAGGGCAGCCUGUGUAACACUUGGAAGUCUUGGCGCUUGCUAUAAUCAGGUGCUGUUUUACUGAGGAAACUUCCAUGGAAAAUCCUCUGCAGCUCUUUGAGCAGUGCCUGCAGCCUUCUAUAAGGUCUGGAGUGUUUGAUGCCGUGUUUUCUUGGUGGAGAGGUUCUUCCUGCAUGGUUCCACUGCCACUUUCAGAAAUGCCCCUGACUGUGAAAAACCCUACUAAGGGACUCGAUUUUUAUAGUGCACCUUGUAAAAAUCAAUUGCUCAACAUGGCAUUGCAAGGAAUUAGCAAUUUUUGCUUUUCAGUCAGAAAUAAUUGAAGGCCAAGCUUUUUUCUUUAAGCAAAAAAAUUACUCUCAGGUAUUUGUGAAUGUAAAGGGAACUCAUUUACUAGUGUUUCCAUGCUUUCAGAGAUGUUCUUUAAGGACUGAACUGGCUAAAUAACAAUGAAUUUCUUAUUUAAAAAACUAAUUCUUUAUUUCAUAAUGAUCACACAUUCUGCUGAUCUCCGUUAAAUGUAGGACCUCCCUGUUGGCACACAGGCAGAUAGUCAGGGCCUGGCCUGCAGUUUGAGACACCGAACAGAGCAGGAGAAUGGAGUAGAUGUGACAUGAGAGAUGGCUGGAUAUAGUAGGUACUGCUACAGAGAGCACCCAGGGGAAUGUUUCAGCUUCACAGAUGACUGAGGAGGAGCACAGGGACCACCGGGGUGUGGAGGUGACCCAGUGAGAGGCCCAAGCACGCUUCCUCCCUCAGCCAGAAUAGCACCCACAGCUUACCUCAAUGAAACAAAACACCGAUUACACCAGACGCAACUGCUGCUCUUUUCUUUGUGGGGCACAGGUAAGAAAAUGAUGAACAGAAGAUAAGCAGCAACCCAGGGUUUGGUGAGGCAAGUAGCUGAGAGCUCCUAUCACGGUCACCCCACACCAUGCUUUGAGCAAAGAGCCAGGCUGGGGGUGGUCAGCGGAGUGGUGGGGCACUGCCGUGGGGCAGGAAGCUGCUCUCCAGCUCAUGUUCCUGAUCCCCUGCAGCCCACAUGAGCCGUGUCUUGUGGCAGGGAUCUGAGUCUGCAACAGGAUGUCCCAAAGGCACCGAGCCCCAGGCUGCUUCCCUGUGCACUUCAUCUUCAGGACCAAGAGCGUUUCCAUGGGGCAGAGGCAGCCACCCCUGCUGUGGUGCAAGGGGCUGUACAGGGCCCGCAGCUUUCUACCACCCAAAACCAGGUUCCAGUAAGGGCUGGGGCUCUGAGCUGCUCUCUACUUAGAAUUAUAGAAUGGUUAGGGUUGGAAAGAACCUUACUUCUCUGAUUAUUUAGCUCAGAAGGGAAGCUGUGGUUGGAGUUACUCUGUUGGUUUUGGGGACUGGGCUACUUCCCUGA